CGUAGGCGGAUAAUUUAAAAUACAGUAAAAAACUGAGGCUGACCCUCUUUAAUCUGAGUUCACUGAUUAUCUUGGGUGUUAGGGGGGUUUAUUGAAUUCUAGAAGGAGGGGUGAAAUGCGUUGAUAUCUAGAAGACAUUCAAUAGUGAAAACUUUAACCGAUUUAAUUCGACGCUGAGGUACUAAAGUAUGGGGAUAAACGGGAUUAGAGACCCCAGUAGUCCAUACUUAAACAAUGAGUGUCAACAUCUUUUAGCCCAAAAAGCUAUCUGGGGUUUAAAGCUAACGCGUAGAACACCGCCUGGGGAAUGUGGCCGCAAGGUUAAACUCAAAGGAAUUGACGGAGACUUAUACAAGG
rnacentral:rRNA from 1 species